rnacentral:rRNA from 1 species
AUUGAACGCUGGCGGCAUGCCUUACACAUGCAAGUCGAACGGCAGCACGGGAGCAAUCCUGGUGGCGAGUGGCGAACGGGUGAGUAAUAUAUCGGAACGUGCCCAGUCGUGGGGGAUAACGUAGCGAAAGCUACGCUAAUACCGCAUACGAUCUAUGAAUGAAAGCGGGGGAUCGCAAGACCUCGCGCGAUUGGAGCGGCCGAUAUCAGAUUAGGUAGUUGGUGGGGUAAAGGCCCACCAAGCCGACGAUCUGUAGCUGGUCUGAGAGGACGACCAGCCACACUGGGACUGCGACACGGCCCAGACUCCUACGGGAGGCAGCAGUGGGGAAUUUUGGACAAUGGGCGCAAGCCUGAUCCAGCAAUGCCGCGUGCAGGAUGAAGGCCUUCGGGUUGUAAACUGCUUUUGUACGGAGCGAAAAGGCUUCCACUAAUACUGGGGGCUCAUGACGGUACCGUAAGAAUAAGCACCGGCUAACUACGUGCCAGCCGCCGCAGUAA